rnacentral:rRNA from 1 species
AAACUAAUUUAAUUUGGCGGCAUUUUAUCUAAUUAGAGGAAUCCGUCCAUUAAUCGACAAUACACGAUAAAUUUCACUUCAAUUUAAAACUUAUAUACCGCCAUAUUAAGAAUUAAUUCAAAAAUAUUUCUCUAAAUAAUAAAUAAGAAAUUAGGUCAAGGUGUAAUUUAUAUUAAAGAAUAAGAUAGAUUACAUUAAAUAAAAUUUAAAGAACAUAAAUAAAUAUAUUUAUAUAAAUAAGAAUUUAACAGUAAUAUUCAAACAAUAUUACAAUAUGAAAUAGAUCAUAAAUGUGUACACAUCGCCC